GAUGAACGCUGGCGGCGUGCCUAAUACAUGCAAGUCGAGCGAAUGGAUUGAGAGCUUGCUCUUAUGAAGUUAGCGGCGGACGGGUGAGUAACACGUGGGUAACCUGCCCAUAAGACUGGGAUAACUCCGGGAAACCGGGGCUAAUACCGCAUAACAUUUUGCACCGCAUGGUCCGACAUUGAAAGGCGACUUCGGCUGUCACUUAUGGAUGGACCCGCGUCGCAUUAGCUAGUUGGUGAGGUACGGCUCACCAAGACAACCAGGCGUAGCCGACCUGAGAGGGUGAUCGGCCACACUGGGACUGAGACACGGCCCAGACUCCUAAGGGAGGCAGUAGUAGGGAAUCUUCCGCAAUGGACGAAAGUCUGACGGAGCAACGCCGCGUGAGUGAUGAAGGCUUUCGGGUCGUAAAACUCUGUUGUUAGGGAAGAACAAGUGCUAGUUGAAUAAGCUGGCACCUUGACGGUACCUAACCAGAAAGCCACGGCUAACUACGUGCCAGCAGCCGCCGUAA
rnacentral:rRNA from 1 species